rnacentral:rRNA from 1 species
CAAAAACAUUUUUUUUUGGUAUAAAAAGUAUGACCUGCCCACUGUGGAAUGAAGGGCCGCAGUAUAACUGACUGUGCAAAGGUAGCGUAAUAAUUAGGUUUUUAAUUGAAAUCUAGAAUGAAAGGUUGAACUAGGUAUAAGCUUUUAUUUUCUUUUAAUUGAAAUUUUUAUUAAAGUGAAAAAACUUUAAUAAUCUAAAAAGAAGAGAAGACCCCUAGAAUUUAAAUUUAUACUUUGAUUUGUUUUUUAAUUUAAUUUUUAAUGGGGGAGUUGAAGAGAAAUUUUAACUGGGGCGGUUUUUUAGUAGAGAUAACCUAAAAUAUGGUAAACUUAUUUAAGAGUUAGAAAGAUCCAUUAGAAUGUGAAAGAAGAAAAAUUACCUUGGGGAUAACAGCGUAAUCUUUUAUUUAAGUUCAAAUUUUUUAAAGGGUUUGCGACCUCGAUGUUGAAUUAAGAGUUAAAAAUUGGGGUAGAGAUUAAUUGUUUAGGUCU